UUUACCCUCCAAGACACAUUAUGAGUUAUCAAUUACAUAUAAAGACACAUUGAGUUAAGAGAACACUUUCUUAUGUUCAUUUGUCUGAAUUGCCCUUCAACUAAAAAGAAGAUGUCAUAACAUGUGUCAAAAUUAUUUUCAAUAUAAUUCCAUUUAACUUUCACCUUUUAGUUUCAUAUUUUUUAAUUCCCUAAACUUAAUCAUGCCUCCAUCUAUCGUCAUCUUCAUCUCUCAUCUUUCGUAUCCUUCUAAAUAUUCUUCUACUUCACUAAAUUUGUAGAUUUUUUUUUUUAUAAUUCUAAAUUACUAAUUUUUGUUGUCGAAUCUUUAUCUUUCACCACUUUAUUUUUUAAAUCUCGAAUUCAUGGAAACUUCAGAUUGGGAGCUAAGGAAAGUCGAUUCUGAAAUUUCAGCUUGGGUGAUUCUAGAUCUUCGCCGACGAAUACAUCCAAGACAGCAAAGCCGAUGUAUCUCCUGCAACAUUUGAUUCACAUGUCGCCCAUCCUUUUCAUGUCCAUCAAUUUCCUUGUCCACAAAUGAACUAUCCACAAAGCUGUCUUGGAUCUAAGUUUGAUUCACAUGUCGCCCAUCCUUUUCAGUGGAUUAGCUCGUGAUUUUCCGUGGAUGAACUUGGGAUUCGACGUGGAUGAACUCGAGGUAGUUGCCUUGGAUCUAAGUUUUUUAUCUCUUCAUGGUGGCUUCUGUUGCAGAGAGAAAGCUCUAAAAGAAACAAUGGUCAAAUUACUCUAUUUUACACAUAUAGUCCUCCCAUUUUUGGAUUUUUGCAAUUUGACCCCAACAUUCUUUAAUUUACUUAUAGAUCCUCUUGAUUUCGUCUCAAACUUUUAAUUAUGUACUUUACGUAAGAAUAAUUUUCUUAUCAACUCAUAUCCACACUUGCUAUGUCCAUUAAAUAUUAUUUAAUAAAAUAAAAAUUUAUAAAAUAUCAAAAAUAUAUAUAUGGAUACAAAUAUAUUUUGUCCAUAGAAACUUGUCCACAAAAACAUUAUAACAUUUUUGUGUCCACAUAAAUUAUGUCCACAGAAGCUUGUCUACAUAAAUUACGUCCAUUGAAUUGCGUCCACACAAAAAGCUUAAUCCCUUUCUCUCUUUCAAAACGUCACAAUACAAUAUGUUCUCUAGAUGGAUUAUCUUCAAACAAACAACACAAACCC